CCCUAUGGGGCGCACCAGGAUGGAUGGAAGAUCGAGGCAUCUGAUCGUGGAAAGUAUCUUCUGCGCGGUUGACUGCUGUAUGCCGCAUCUGCGCAUGUCGUUGUAGAUGGCGAUGAUCGUGGUGUCCCGCAAUGUGUAUAUGGGGAUCUUGUGAGAGUUGAUUAGCGACAAUUAUAAUGCCCGUCCAACGGCGAUUAGAAUUCCUGUCUGACGACAAUUAGAAUUCCCGAAUAGGGAACGAACUGAUAAAGCGCCAACCGAGUGAUUACUUCUUGAAGGGGGUGCUCGGGAUGGUGACGGACAGGCAGGUGAAAAUUCUCAUGAAGCUGAUAAACAAGGAAGAAACUCUGGCUGCUGCCGCGGCGAAAGCGGGAAUGGAUGAGAAGACGGCAAGGAAUUGGCGGGGGGGC
rnacentral:rRNA from 1 species